UACGUAGGGACCAAGCGUUGUUCGGAUUUACUGGGCGUAAAGGGCGCGUAGGCGGCGUAUCAGGUCACUUGUGAAAUCUCCGGGCUUAACUCGGAACGGUCAAGUGAUACUGAUGUGCUAGAGUGCAGAAGGGGCAACCGGAAUUCUUGGUGUAGCGGUGAAAUGCGUAGAUAUCAAGAGGAACACCGGAGGUGAAGACGGGUUGCUGGGCUGACACUGACGCUGAGGCGCGAAAGCCAGGGGAGCGAACGGG
rnacentral:rRNA from 1 species